CUAGGUCCUCCCCUUUCUGUUUUUGCAGUGGCCCUUGACUUCCCUGCGUGAGCCUCACUGCGUUCAGCCAGCGCCCAGCCUGGACUCUGCUCCACCAGCAGCUUCUGGAGGAUCUCCUGCUUGUCAUCCAGCCCCAGUGCCCAGUGCUGGUGUGGCCUCUAAGUGCAGGAAGGGACCAGGAAGGGACAGAAGGAAGAGGAAGCAGUGCAACCUGACCCCUGGCUUCACAUCCACCCUGGUGUUGAACACCAGAGGGCCAUGGAAGGAGUUGAAAAGUUGGGGUCCAUGCCUGACUGAAACAAGGGUUGAUCUAACAACAGUGACAACGAUAAAAGCAAGACUGGGUAUUGAAAGUCAAGACUGGGCAAGUGGAGCCCUCUCUUCAUGUUAUAGACAAGGAGAACCCUGAGCAUGCAAGACAGAAGACUUCCUUUUGGUUUGUCUUCAGCGUUUCUGCCGAUGUGUUCGUGGUCCUGUGUCCCAUGUCUGCAGUCUGAAGGGAAAACCCCAUGCACCAUCAGCCUAAGAAAAGGCACAGGCUCAACUCUGAAGGCUCUCUCUUUCCACUCUUGAAUAAUAGCUAGAUAAAGCCAAUCUCAAACCUUAGUAGUCCACUAAGAAGGUUACAAAAUAUAUAUUUACGAAUUCAUCUCAGACUGUAUUCCAGCCUGCCAUUAGGAUUUUGAAAGCAUGUGCAUGUUGUAUUGUGGCUGCUAAAGUUCAUGUCUGCUACUAUUAUUCAAUCUGCUAAAAAUUGUCAUUUAAUUUAAUAAUAUGAUGAAA